GACGAACGCUGGCGGCGUGGAUUAGGCAUGCAAGUCGAACGGUAUCAUCCUUUCGGGGGUGAGAGAGUGGCGAACUGGUGAGUAACACGUAGGUUAUCUACCCUCAAGACGGGGACAACCCAGGGAAACUUGGGCUAAUACCGGAUGUGAGCAACUUUUUAGUUGUUUGAAAGGUGGCGUAAGCUGUCGCUUGGGGAUGAGCCUGCGUCCUAUUAGUUAGUUGGUGAGGUAACGGCUCACCUAGGCAAUGAUAGGUAGGCGGCCUUAACGGGUGGUCGCCCACACUGGGAUUGAGAUACGGCCCAGACUCCUACGGGAGGCAGCAGUCGAGAAUAGUCUACAAUGGUCGGAAGACUGAUAGUGCGACGCCGCGUGAACGAUGAAUCCCUUCGGGGUGUAAAGUUCUUUUAUAUGUGAGCAGUGCUUCUUAUAUUAACAGUAAUGGGGAAGAGAUAUUAGCAUAUGAAUAAGCAACGGCUAACUCCGUGCCAGCAGCCGCGGUAAUC
rnacentral:rRNA from 1 species